CCACCCCUGCCCUCAGCCUCCUUCAAAGUGGCCGCUGGGGCUGGGGUCUGUCUUUGCAGAGGUGCCAGGCCACAUGCCCUGCCCACCUCUACCAGCUAUGCCGCCUCUGAAGUUCCUCCAGCGGCACUGAGGAGGGGCCCUGUGGUCGAGGGUGCAGUUAAACGAGGCCCGACCGGGUAGUUGAGCUCAGCUUGGCUGUACUUGUCUUCCUUGGACCUGCUGGGCACCCCCAGGAGGGCCAUGGUUAUAGACACAGGUUCGGAGUCAGCCCCAGCUUGAAUCCUGCUUCUGCCACCAGCCCUGUGACCUGAAGCAACCAUACCCGGAAGCCCCCGAGUUUUGAUCUGGCCCAGGUAGACCGAUCAUUUCCUCCAAGUCCCCCUUCCCUGAGGAGCUGGCGUGCUUCAGUCUCACAGAAUGGGCAACUGAGGUUGAGAGAAAGGAAAUAACUUGUCCCAGGCCAGCAGCUGAGUCACGACCAAGGCACUUCGUUCUUCAUCUAGUGCGGCCUGUGCAGCCAAAAUGCCUUCCCAUGAGCUUGCCACAUAACCAUGGGUGGCUCACUGGACUUUCAUCUGGGCAAAGAGAAGGGUGUGCUGACACUACUCAUGGCUCCUUCAUCUGGGACCUACCCAAAUCCCGUGGCUUUGCUCACAAUCAUCUGAUCCUGUUGUGCCCAAGAUGCCUGCUCCCAUGCCUGGAUACCUGCUGCAGCUGCUCCAAGCCAGGACCCUGCCAAUCUGUCAUUUUAGAUCUUCAGCUCUGGGUUGGUCUUCCAGGUGCCUCUGCCUCCCAAGGAAACCCAAGGAACUCCGCCAGAAAGGGAAUGCCUAAAAGAGCAGCAGUGGGGACUGUAGGGGUCCUCCUGCCUGCCCCUUUGUUAUCCAGAGUGGGGCCCUGACUUGCCUGAAGUCACACAGGGACUCCGGUAUUCCAAUCCUCGGCCUUAAGAUCGCUGCUAUCCGGUUACUUCUAUCUAAAAGCCCUAGAGAAGUUUCGGGAGACACUCAAAGGGCCCUUGUCUGGUUUCCAGGCUGACCAACUCUAAUGGAGAAAAAGCUCACUCACUAAGCAUACAUCAAAUGCCAGGCGUAUAGAAUCCUUCAGUGGAGGGAUCAUUCUCCCCAUUUUACAGAGGAAUAAA
rnacentral:lncRNA from 1 species